AUUGAACGCUGGCGGCAUGCCUUACACAUGCAAGUCGAACGGUAACGCGGGGCAACCUGGCGACGAGUGGCGAACGGGUGAGUAAUGUAUCGGAACGUGCCCAGUUGUGGGGGAUAACUGCUCGAAAGAGCAGCUAAUACCGCAUACGACCUGAGGGUGAAAGCGGGGGAUCGCAAGACCUCGCGCAAUUGGAGCGGCCGAUAUCAGAUUAGGUAGUUGGUGGGGUAAAGGCCCACCAAGCCAACGAUCUGUAGCUGGUCUGAGAGGACGACCAGCCACACUGGGACUGAGACACGGCCCAGACUCCGACGGGAGGCAGCAGUGGGGAAUUUUGGACAAUGGACGCAAGUCUGAUCCAGCCAUGCCGCGUGCGGGAAGAAGGCCUUCGGGUUGUAAACCGCUUUUGUCAGGGAAGAAACGCUCUGGGUUAAUACCUCGGGGUAAUGACGGUACCUGAAGAAUAAGCACCGGCUAACUACGUGCCAGCCGCCGCCGUAAAAC
rnacentral:rRNA from 1 species